rnacentral:rRNA from 1 species
GUGGGGGAUAUUGCACAAUGGGGGAAACCCUGAUGCAGCGACGCCGCGUGAGGGAAGACGGUUUUCGGAUUGUAAACCUCUGUCUUUAGGGACGAAAAAAUGACGGUACCUAAGGAGGAAGCCACGGCUAACUACGUGCCAGCAGCCGCGGUAAUACGUAGGUGGCAAGCGUUGUCCGGAAUUACUGGGUGUAAAGGGAGCGUAGGCGGGGAGACAAGUUGAAUGUCUAAACUAUCGGCUUAACUGAUAGUCGCGUUCAAAACUAUCACUCUUGAGUGCAGUAGAGGUAGGCGGAAUUCCUAGUGUAGCGGUGAAAUGCGUAGAUAUUAGGAGGAACACCAGUGGCGAAGGCGGCCUACUGGGCUGUAACUGACGCUGAGGCUCGAAAGCGUGGGUAGCAAACAGGAUUAGAAACCCUAGUAGUCC